rnacentral:rRNA from 1 species
CAGUCGCCGCGGGAAUACGAAGGGUGCAAGCGUUAAUCGGAAUUACUGGGCGUAAAGCGUGCGUAGGCGGUGAGUUAAGUCUGCUGUGAAAUCCCCGGGCUCAACCUGGGAAUGGCAGUGGAUACUGGCUCGCUAGAGUGUGUCAGAGGAUGGUGGAAUUCCCGGUGUAGCGGUGAAAUGCGUAGAGAUCGGGAGGAACAUCAGUGGCGAAGGCGGCCAUCUGGGACAACACUGACGCUGAGGCACGAAAGCGUGGGGAGCAAACAGGAUUAGAGACCCGAGUAGUCCCUGUCUCUUAUAC